rnacentral:ribozyme from 1 species
AACCAGCAAAAAUUGCUGGGGUGUUCUCUCUAAAAAAAACAACGUGAGACAAGAAUAGUAAGUGCAUCAUCAUGUUGAUUUUUUUUAUGUAUAUUGUUGUUGAUGCGGGUGAUAAUUAGUAAGAAG